AUGGGGAACAGAGCAGCGAGCUGCUGCCUUCAGGGAACACCACAGGGAGCUGAGGGCUGGGCAUCGACCGUGGGAUGGCAGCUGUGGGGGGUUUGUCCCAGCAAAAGCCAUACCAAGAAGACAGAACUGGCUGGGGCUGGAUGGAGCUCACUGCAUCCUCAGGGUGCCAGGAACUGCUGUGCCCAGUGCCAGGUGAGCCCAUUGCUGCUGAGAGCUCUUCAAGUGCUGCUGGCACCAGGGACGUGGCUGAGCAAAAAGUGCUCCAUUUGUCUCUUUCAGGCUUACAGCAAAUGGAAAAGCAAGAAAUUGGCAGCAGACCAAGCCAGGACAAUGCCCCCAGCCCCAGAUCCAGGAUGGUCACAAUGUACCCCAGCACUGCCAUAG
rnacentral:lncRNA from 1 species